GACAAUAUUAGUAUGAUUAAUUAAUAAUAUCAUAAUAAUAAUUAAUGUGUUAAUUAACAUAUUAAUAGUACAUAAUUAAUAAAAAUAAGAACAUUACUGAAUGAGCAUUUGAAGAUCUACCUCAUAUUUUUACCUAGUAAAUAUCUACUUGUCAUUUCAGAAUAUUUUAUUAUUAAAAAAAAAAAAUUCACAUACACAAUAAGGAUGGUCUUAAAAUGGCUCCCUAUGGAUGCAUCUUUCAGCUGCAACACUGAUAGUUUGAAGUCUUAUUCAUCUGUCUUCCAGCUUUUUGUUUGUUUGAAGUAUUUUAAAGUAAAUUUCAGAUAUCAUCUCAUUUCACCUAUUUGCAUAUCUAAUAAUGAAAACACUAUGUAUAUUAAACCAUUCUCUCAUUAGUAUACCUAAAAAUAAUGGUUCCCUAUCAUUUAAUAACCUCCAUGAUUCUCUAUCAAUAUUUAAUAACUGCCAUAUUCAAAUUUUCCUACCUCAAAAAAUGUCUUUUUCAAAUUAAUGUGUUCAAAUCAGGAUCCAAAAGAACACGAAUGUUGCAUUUGUUUUUGACCUUUUCAAGCGAUAACUUUAAGGUCUGCUUUAUUCUUUAAGCCACCUAUCCCAUCUCCUCUCCCAAUUUUUUUCUAUACUAUUGAUUUUUUUUUUUUUAAGAAGAGCUGGUCAUUUGUUUAUGGGAUAGUCCUUAUUCUGGACUUAUAGAGACUUGGUUAGAUGCAGGAUUUAAUAUUUUAGGCAAAAAUUCUUAAUGGCUUUUGUCUUCUUGUAUAUCUUCUAGUAAUGCUAAGAUCAAUCCCUGGAUAAGUUUGAUGUCUCCAUUAAAAUGUUCCUCCAUAAUCUUUCACCUAAUGAUUUUAUCAUACUUAGUAAUUGUUGCCUACAUACACUUUAUCAGUAAGGGCUAUAAAAUGUCAAUUUCUAAUUUUAACAUUCUUCCUAUACUUAUUUACUGAGAUUAUACAAGAAAAAAAUUUCCUUCAUCAACCAUUUUAUUUUCGUAAAAUGUAAAACUCAUAGAAGAAAAGCAGGAUGAUUUUUUAAUUUCUUUUUUUCCCCACAGUUUUUAUUGGUCCAUUGUAGUUGUACAUAAUGAUGGGAUCUGUUGUUAUGAAUUUGUACAUGUACACAAUAUAACAGUAUAAUUUGGCCAAUAUCCCUCCCCAGCACUCCCCCCUCCCUCCAAACCUCCCACUUCUGUCCCUUUCUUCUCUUGAUCUCCUUUUGAGUUUCAUGAGAUAAGCCCUCACCUUUCUUUUCCUUUUCCCUCUUAACCUUCCACCCAUAUAUGAGAGAAAACAUACACCCUUGACCUUCUGAGCUUGACUUAUUUUGCUUAACAUAAUGGUCUCUAGUUCCCUCCAUUUAAAAAAGCAGGAUAAUUCUUUUUUUUCUAUUUUUUAUUUGUUGUAAUUAAUUAUACAUAACAGUAGAAUGCAUUUUGAUACAUCAUACAUAAAUGGAGUAUAGCUUGUCAUUCUUCUGGCUGUACCUGAUGUAGGGUUACACUGGUCAUAUAAUCAUAUAUGUACAUAGGUUAAUAAUGUUCAAUUCAUUCUUCUAUCAUUCCUACACCCAUACCCCCUCCCCUACUUUCACUACCCUCUGUCUAAUCCAAAGUACCUCUAUUCUUCCCUACCCUCCACUUAUUGGGAAUUAACAUCCACAUAUCAGAGAAAUCAUUUAGCCUUUGGUUCUUUGGGAUUGGCUUAUUUCAAAAAGCAGGAUAAUUCUUAAACCUCUCCCUUUAUUUAUCAAGUUUCAAAGUGAUGAGUUUUGACAACGUCAGGACAAACUUAGGACAACCUCCAAUGAUAAAAAUAUCAUAUACUUGUUCUGUAUGACACAGACUGACUUUUAUUCUCUUCAAUGCUUUCUGGAGGAAAAAAUCUCUUUAAGUGACUAUAUUCAAUCACUUACUCAGUGACUAUUAAGUUCCUACUCUGUGUACCAGGUCCUAUUCUAGAUAUUAGGGUUACAAUAGUGAAUGACAUUUUAAAAAUACCUGCCCCUUUAUGCAUCUUACCUUCCAGUGGGUGAAGCAAGAUAAUAAAAUAAGAGAAUAAGUAAAAUAAAAAAGUACUAAGAAGAAAAGUAAAGCAAGGAAGGAGGGUAGAAACUAUUGGGGGUAAGUUUUGAAAUUUUAGGUAAGGUAGCCUGAGAAGGAUUCACUGAAGUUACUGUUAGAAACCCAUGUGGAGAGGGCUGAGGAUAUAGCUCAGUUGGUAGAGUGCUUGCCUCGCAUGCACAAAGCCCCGGGUUUGAACCCCAGCACCAAAAAAAGAAAAUCAUGUGGAGGAAAUUGUGGAGCAGCCUACAGAAGGAUGUUCCAGGCACUGCAACACACAGGACAGUGUUUCCAAGCAGGAACUUUCCUAGUGUGCUUGAGGAAUAAGCAGCAAGGUGGCUAGUGUGACAGAUGGUACAGGUGAUGGUAGGGAGACAUUAAGAGAGAUGCUCUAGGAGAGGUGGAGAGGUGGAGUAGAAGGUAUUGAACCGACCAACUACGGCCUGUUAGAGUGGAACAAGGGCUUUGAACAGAAUGAAAUGAUCUGACUAAAUUUUAAAUUAAGUUUACUCUGGCUUCUGGCUCUAUAAGGAAAAGGGAAGAAAUGGGGACCUCAUUAGGAAAUCAUUGCAGAGAAGAGAUGAGAGUGACCAGGACAGGAGGGUAGGAACAAAAAUGAUGAGAAGCAGUCAGAUUAGGGAUAUAUUUUAAAGGUUGAGCCAGUAGAUUUGCCAGUUGAUUGGAUGAGGGUUCAAGGUAAAUGAGCAGUGGN
rnacentral:lncRNA from 1 species